UGAUCCUGGCUCAAGAUGAACGCUGGCGGCGUGCCUAACACAUGCAAGUCGAACGGGGUAUAUAAGCGGAAGUUUACGGAUGGAAGGUUAUAUACUUAGUGGCGGACGGGUGAGUAACGCGUGGGCAACCUGCCCCGUGCCGGGGGAUACCGCCUGGAAACAGGCGCUAAUACCGCAUAAGCGCAUACAGCCGCAUGGGUGUAUGCGGAAAGCUCCGGCGGCACGGGAUGGGCCCGCGCCCGAUUAGCCAGUUGGCGGGGUAACGGCCCACCAAAGCGACGAUCGGUAGCCGGCCUGAGAGGGCGGACGGCCACAUUGGGACUGAGACACGCCCCAACUCCUACGGGAGGCAGCAGUGGGGAAUAUUGCACAAUGGGGGAAACCCUGAUGCANCAACGCCNCGUGGGUGAAGGAGCGGUUCGGCGCCGUAAAGCCUGUCCGCGGGGGAAAAAAAAAACGGACCCCAACAAAAAGCCCCGGCUACUAAUUGCCCCCACCCCCGGUAUAUCUUAGGGGGCAACGUUUCCCGGAUUUCUGGGGGUAAAGGGGCGCUAAACGGCGAGGUAACCCUGGAUUGGAAACCCCCCGCCCCACCCCCAAAUGCCUUUGAAAAAUGUUUUUCGGGAUUUUGGGGGGGGUAACCGGAAUUC
rnacentral:rRNA from 1 species